rnacentral:lncRNA from 1 species
AAUAUUUCCUUGUUUUAAUUUACUGCACUUUAUAAACAUGAAAACAAAAUAAAAAGAGUGUGUAGAUAAGUGUGCUUUAUUUAUCUGCUAAGUUUAAUCUCUAAAAAAACAAAAAGACCAAAAAGAUGCAUGAUGGAAAUAAUGAACAGUUGCUCUGUUUGCUUACUUUUAAGUACCUAGCUUUUAUAUUAGAGUUCUUCCAGGAAUUAUUAAAACUAAAAUUACUAUCUUUGGGAAGCAUAAAACUAAAACGAAAGGCAUGAUAUAAAGUUGAGCUACUGUUUAUCUUGUUUCUACUACACUAAGUUCUGGAGAUUUAUUUUGAAAACUUACAAAUCACAUGAUGAGUUCCUAGCAUAACAAAACUACCUACCACAGCCAUAUUUGCUAUAACAUCUUUUACUAUAUUUACAUUGAGUUUGAUCGAGUUGUGUAGACCCUUAGGAGCUUUUCAUGUGGUUAAAUUUAGAUAUUCACUUGCACACAUCUACCACAACAUUCAUCACCAAUCAUUAAAAUUGCUAAAAAUAUUAUCACUCACUGUCCCAAGUAUUGUUAUACUCUCUAUCUAAAAAGAUUCAAUGCGGAAGAGGCAUGGGUUAUGCAAAAAUAUGCGAGGAAAUAAAAAGGGACAAGUGCCCGGAACCUCGAAAAAGAAAGAAAAAGAGUGAGACGAGAGGUAAAAAUGGACAAGUGUCCAGAGUAGAAUUAGGGGUACAAAGAUGCCCACUUGAGCGGAAAAAAUGGACAAGUGUCUGACAGUAGAAUUAGGGAUAUCUACUACUAUACCCACCUGAAAAAAAAGAGAAAAAGAUAGACCAUGUUCUCCCAAAGCAAAGAUCAAAGAAGAGGAGAGAUAGCAAUAUGAGGAGCAAUAAGAAGUAAGCUUUAUCAUUACCAUCACUAUCAUUUACUCCACCACACAUGCACAUCUUGAUUUAAUUAUAUGCUGAGUUCCUUUGGAUCCAUGGCUCGAUUAGACAACAUAUGUAUGAGCUAUUUUUCACUCCUAUGAGCUCCGCUUAAAUAUUCCAUUAGCUAUAGGUAAGUGACAUUAUGGUAAGGAUCCACAAAUACCACA